rnacentral:rRNA from 1 species
AGAUUAAGUUAUUAAGGGCGCACGGUGGAUGCCUUGGCACUAGAAGCCGAUGAAGGACGUUACUAACUACGAUAUGCUUUGGGUAGCUGUAAGUAAGCGUUGAUCCAGAGAUUUCCGAAUGGGGGAACCCAGCAUGAGUUAUGUCAUGUUAUCGACAUGUGAAUUCAUAGCAUGUCAGAAGGCAGACCCGGAGAACUAAAACAUCUUAGUACCCGGAGGAAGAGAAAGAAAAACUCGAUUCCCUGAGUAGCGGCGAGCGAAACGGGAAGAGCCCAAACCAACAAGCUUGCUUGUUGGGGUUGUAGGACACUCUAUACGGAGUUACAAAAGAACAUGUUAGACGAAUCAUCUGGAAAGAUGAAUCAAAGAAGGUAAUAAUCCUGUAGUCGAAAACAUAUUCUCUCUUGAGUGGAUCCUGAGUACGACGGAGCACGUGAAAGUCCGUCGGAAUCUGGGAGGACCAUCUCCUAAGGCUAAAUACUCUCUAGUGACCGAUAGUGAACCAGUACCGUGAGGGAAAGGUGAAAAGUAGCCCGGAAGGGGAGUGAAAGAGAACUUGAAAUCGUGUGCUUACAAGUAGUCAGAGCCCGUUAAUGGGUGAUGGCGUGCCUUUUGUAGAAUGAACCGGCGAGUUACGAUCUGAUGCAAGGUUAAGCAGCAAAUGUGGAGCCGCAGCGAAAGCGAGUCUGAAUAGGGCGUUGAGUAUUUGGUC